GGUUGACCUCGGAUCGG
rnacentral:rRNA from 1 species